UGUGACCAAGCUGUGCCAGGAGAGUAAAUAUAGUGAGUUAACUAUGGUAAUGUGUGAAGAGUUACUGUAAGGUGUCUUUACAGGUGUGCUGGCCUUCACUGUGGCCAUGAGUCACAUCUUCAGACUGCUGUUCCAAUUCUGAGCCGAGAGAGACCUCUGCUGGCCAGACCACAGCCAAUCAUAAGGGCAGCUGCAGCUCUUGUGUGCUGGGCCUGCGGCACACAGAGACAGUGAGAGGGAAGCACGCGAGACCUGCUCAGCACUGCAACACAGAGCCAGAGUGAAAAAGUCCUGCUCCUCUCUGAGCGGCAAACACUGCUGCCAGUGCAUCACCUCGCCCUGCAAGAGCAUUAGGACCCAUCAAGUCACUCGUUGGUUCAGUGAAGUCAUCGAGGUAGAUCGGAAAGCAGGAAGAUCCCUGUGUGGCCCCGAGGGCCGUCUGGUCCCCUUUG